rnacentral:rRNA from 1 species
UACGUAGGGGGCUAGCGUUGUCCGGAAUCAUUGGGCGUAAAGAGCGUGUAGGCGGUCCGUUAAGUCCGUUGUGAAAGUCAGGGGCUCAACCCUUGAAUGCCGGCGGAUACUGUCGGGCUAGAGUCCGGAAGAGGCGAGUGGAAUUCCCGGUGUAGCGGUGAAAUGCGCAGAUAUCGGGAAGAACACCCGUGGCUAAGGCGGCUCUCUAGUACGGUACUGACGCUGAGACGCGAAAGCGUGGGGAGCGAACAGG